UACAGCGAUGUCGCAGAAGUCUGAAAAGCUUCGCUUUGCAAACUAUCUGACAUGCUUCAUUUGACGAGAUGGAUAUACAAGUCGAGAGUUGUUAUAAAGUUGAGGAAUAUCUUUACUUGGUGGUCAUUCAAAGCCAAAUAUAAAUACAAGUUGAAUUAAUUGCAGCGUGUGAAAGCAGUAGCACAUUCACGUAAUGUGCCACCAUCUUUGCAAUGCAAAGCACUUCUUUCAGCCAGCUACGGAUAGACGAAAGAUCGCAAUGUAUGCAAGUCCUUCCUGAUCAUGUGAACAAUAGUUAAUUUAAUCUACAGUCAGUUUUUCAAGACAGUACCUACCACCGAGGAUUGGCCAAUUGAUCUGAUUCACUAUGCUCUUUUUUGCAGAAAUUCACAUUUGAAUAUCUUCCUUUCACAUUUUUUGGCGAACUCUGUGAUGUAGUUGGUCUCUGGAAUUCAAUUGAAAUACCUUCCUUCAUUCAUGAUUUAUUGCUUUCAAUGCCGUUAAUAUCUUCAAUUCAAGCCUGCCUCUUGUUACCAACGAAGAAGGAGACAAGUUCGGAAAAUCUGCUGGCGAUGGUAUUUGGCAGGACGAAGAAAAAACGUCGCCUUUUUCUCUUUAUCAGUUUUUUUGAAAAUGCCAGAUUCAGAAGUCGAGAAUCUUCUCAAGUUGUUCACGUUGUUCAAGUUGUUUUAUUCCACUGGAAGAAAUUGCAUUUCUCAUGGAACAACACAAAAAUCACCAGAGAAGAGAAAAGCACAAACUAUUCUAGCUGAAGAUGUGACACUUCUAGUCCAUUGAGAGGCGGGUCUAAAACAAGCCGAAAAAGUCACAGAAGCGCUCUACAAUGCAAAUGUUGAAGGACUAGGUGAACUGAAUUAAAACUAAAUCCUAUCGUUAAGAUUUUUCCAGAGCCUGGACUAUCCGUUCUUGAUCUGCCACUAAAAGCUUAAUGUUUUACAACAAAGAUCGGUACGGUGAGAAUCAUCACAGCUGGAGGGUUCUAUAUCAAGCAAUAGCGAACACAAAACUUCGCACUAACUCAUCAGCACUAACAGCACAUACCAUUUCUAUCUAUCUAUUAGUUCAAAAUGCUAAAUGUCUCCUUUUUGUUGGCAAGGAUGAGCAUAUCGAUUAUAACAAUUUGUUUAGCUUAUAUCCUUAUUCAAUUUUACAUUAAUAAUACGAGUAGUAUUGUAAAUAACUUGAAUCAUUAAACAUGUAGACUUCCUGGUUUGUUAAUCCUGUUUAUAUAUUUUUUUAAAUACAAUGAAAUUAAUUCAAAUAUGUUUUUAAAAUCCAUUCGGCACUCAACGUUAUAAUUAUUGACAUAAUAUACA